rnacentral:rRNA from 1 species
ACGCUGGCGGCGUGCCUAAUACAUGCAAGUAGAACGCUGAAGGAGGAGCUUGCUUCUCUGGAUGAGUUGCGAACGGGUGAGUAACGCGUAGGUAACCUGCCUGGUAGCGGGGGAUAACUAUUGGAAACGAUAGCUAAUACCGCAUAACAGUAGAUGUUGCAUGACAUUUGCUUAAAAGGUGCAAUUGCAUCACUACCAGAUGGACCUGCGUUGUAUUAGCUAGUUGGUGGGGUAACGGCUCACCAAGGCGACGAUACAUAGCCGACCUGAGAGGGUGAUCGGCCACACUGGGACUGAGACACGGCCCAGACUCCUACGGGUGGCAGCAGUAGGGAAUCUUCGGCAAUGGACGGAAGUCUGACCGAGCAACGCCGCGUGAGUGAAGAAGGUUUUCGGAUCGUAAAGCUCUGUUGUAAGAGAAGAACAGGUGUGAGAGUGGAAAGUUCACACUGUGACGGUAUCUUACCAGAAAGGGACGGCUAACUACGUGCCAGCAGCCGCGGUAAUACGUAGGUCCCGAGCGUUGUCCGGAUUUAUUGGGCGUAAAGCGAGCGCAGGCGGUUAGAUAAGUCUGAAGUUAAAGGCUGUGGCUUAACCAUAGUACGCUUUGGAAACUGUUUAACUUGAGUGCAAGAGGGGAGAGUGGAAUUCCAUGUGUAGCGGUGAAAUGCGUAGAUAUAUGGAGGAACACCGGUGGCGAAAGCGGCUCUCUGGCUUGUAACUGACGCUGAGGCUCGAAAGCGUGGGGAGCAAACAGGAUUAGAUACCCCUGGUAGUCCACGCCGUAAACGAUGAGUGCUAGGUGUUAGACCCUUUCCGGGGUUUAGUGCCGCAGCUAACGCAUUAAGCACUCCGCCUGGGGAGUACGACCGCAAGGUUGAAACUCAAAGGAAUUGAC